UACAGAGGCCCCAACCGUUGUUCGGAAUCACUGGGCGUAAAGGGUGCGUAGGCGGUUAGGUAAGUCAGAUGUGAAAUCCCGAAGCUCAACUUCGGAAUUGCAUCCGAUACUGCCUUGACUAGAGAAUUGGAGGGGAGUCUGGAAUUCAUGGUGUAGCAGUGAAAUGCGUAGAUAUCAUGAGGAACUCUUGUGGCGAAGGCGAGACUCUGGACAAUAUCUGACGCUGAGGCACGAAGGCCGGGGGAGCAAAAGGG
rnacentral:rRNA from 1 species